AGUCCGGCAAAAGUAGCUGUAGAACUGAACUGCAACUAAAGGAAGUAGCCUAGUUUGAAUAUUAUAAUAAUAUAACUGUACUUCAUAGUAUUGGAGUAUAGAAGAUACAAACCGUAAAAGUGAUGCCGGCCCAGCCCUCCCUCAGAGAACCAGAGGAGGAGAUGGAGGUGGAGGGAGACAGUGAACUACCGGAGGCCAAUGGAGAGAUGGAGGAAGAGAGGGAGAGAGAGAGGAGAGAAGGGGAGGAGGAAACCAUGGAGGAGAGCACGGAGGAGAGGGAGAGCGACUCGGACGAUAGCGAGGAGGAGGAGGAGGAGGAAGAGGAGAGUUCAGAGAUGGAUGAUGAGGACUGUGAGAGGAGGAGAGGAGAGUGCCUAGAUGAGAUGUCAGACCUAGAGAAACAGUUCCUGGAACUGAAAGACAAGUUGUUUCGUGAGCGGUUGAACCAAGUUAAGGUGAAGCUAGAUGAGGUGUUGACUGGUAAAGCAGGAGAAUACAGAGAACCACUGGCAACUCUACAACACAACAUGACGCUACGCACACAGGUGGCAGGUGUUUACAGAGAACUGUGUCUGCAGGUGAUCCAACACAGGUACGAGUGUGAGCUGCAGGGAGCUCGACAGCAUCUGGAGAGCGAGAGGACAUUGUUGUUUGAUGCUAUGAAGACAGAACUGCUGGACAAGAUCAGACGGCUGGAGGAGGAUAGUCAGAGUGUAGACCUCACCUCGGAGUGGUGGAGUGAUGAGGUGAAAGGGAAGAAGUGUAAAAGGAGGAGUCUGUCCCGGCCAGAGAGGAAGAAGAAGGCUGCUCUAGUAUCUGGCCCAUUCAUCGUCUACAUGUUGAGAGACAUUGAUAUCCUGGAAGAUUGGGCAGCUAUACAGAAGGCUAAAGCAGCACUGACACCACUAAAGAAGAAAACAGACAAGCGGUGAUCACAGAGCACUGUCUCAGACGUCUAGAUGAACCAAAGUCUCUGAGCUGAAGAAGAGAACUCACAACAACAGAACAUUCUUGAACACAACAGAACAGUCUUGACCACUAUUUAAUACAAAGCACUUCAGUAGGGUCUUGUUCAGUAGGGUCUUGUUCAGUAGGGUCUUGUUCAGUAGGGUCUUGUUCAGUAGGGCGUACUGGAGCAAAACAUUUUGCAACAGAAAAUGUAAAUCUGUCUUUUUAUUGGACAAGUUCAGGAGUGUACCUCCCUGUUUCAAACUGUUUUGUCCCUACUGAACACAGCACAGACCAUGAAGACGAAACAGCAGACCGAUCACUUUUAGGUUCUGAUUCAUCUAUCACACUAUGGCCCAGUUACCUUUAGGUUCUGAUUCAUCUAUCACACUAUGGCCCAGUUACCUUUAGGUUCUGAUUCAUCUUACUAUGGCCCAGUUACCUUUAGGUUCUGAUUCAUCUACUAUGGCCCAGUUACCUUUAGGUUCUGAUUCAUCCAUCACACUAUGGCCCAGUUACCUUUAGGUUCUGAUUCAUCCAUCACACUAUGGUCCAGUUACCUUUAGGUUCUGAUUCAUCUAUCACACUAUGGCCCAGUUACCUUUAGGUUCUGAUUCAUCUAUCACACUAUGGUCCAGUUACCUUUAGGUUCUGAUUCAUCUAUCACACUAUGGUCCAGU